rnacentral:rRNA from 1 species
GAUGAACGCUGGCGGCGUGCCUAAUACAUGCAAGUCGAGCGAACGGACGAGAAGCUUGCUUCUCUGAUGUUAGCGGCGGACGGGUGAGUAACACGUGGAUAACCUACCUAUAAGACUGGGAUAACUUCGGGAAACCGGAGCUAAUACCGGAUGAUAUUUUGAACCGCAUGGUUCAAAAGUGAAAGACGGUCUUGCUGUCACUUAUAGAUGGAUCCGCGCUGCAUUAGCUAGUUGGUAAGGUAACGGCUUACCAAGGCAACGAUGCAUAGCCGACCUGAGAGGGUGAUCGGCCACACUGGAACUGAGACACGGUCCAGACUCCUACGGGAGGCAGCAGUAGGGAAUCUUCCGCAAAGGGCGAAAGCCUGACGGAGCAACGCCGCGUGAGUGACGAAGGUCUUCGGAUCGUAAAACUCUGUUAUUAGGGAAGAACAUAUGUGUAAGUAACUGUGCACAUCUUGACGGUACCUAAUCAGAAAGCCACGGCUAACUACGUG